rnacentral:rRNA from 1 species
GCUCCACCGCAUGGUGGGUGUUGGAAAGAUUUAUCGGUUUUGGAUGGACUCGCGGCCUAUCAGCUUGUUGGUGAGGUAAUGGCUCACCAAGGCGACGACGGGUAGCCGGCCUGAGAGGGUGACCGGCCACACUGGGACUGAGACACGGCCCAGACUCCUACGGGAGGCAGCAGUGGGGAAUAUUGCACAAUGGGCGCAAGCCUGAUGAGCGACGCCGCGUGAGGGAUGACGGCCUUCGGGUUGUAAACCUCUUUCAGUAGGGAAGAAGCGAAAGUGACGGUACCUGCAGAAGAAGCACCGGCUAACUACGUGCCACAGCCGCGGUAAUACGUAGGGUGCGAGCGUUAUCCGGAAUUAUUGGGCGUAAAGAGCUCGUAGGCGGUUUGUCGCGUCUGUCGUGAAAGUCCGGGGCUUAACCCCGGAUCUGCGGUGGGUACGGGCAGACUAGAGUGCAGUAGGGGAGACUGGAAUUCCUGGUGUAGCGGUGGAAUGCGCAGAUAUCAGGAGGAACACCGAUGGCGAAGCAGGUCUCUGGGCUGUAACUGACGCUGAGGAGCGAAAGCAUGGGGAGCGAACAGGAUUAGAUACCCUGGUAGUCCAUGCCGUAAACGUUGGGCACUAGUGUGGGGACCAUUCCACGGUUUCCGCGCCGCAGCUAACGCAUUAAGUGCCCCGCCUGGGGAGUACGGCCGCAAGGCUAAAACUCAAAGGAAUUGACGGGGGCCCGCACAAGCGGCGGAGCAUGCGGAUUAAUUCGAUGCAACGCGAAGAACCUUACCAAGGCUUGACAUGUUCUCGAUCGCCGUAGAGAUACGGUUUCCCCUUUGGGGCGGUUCACAGGUGGUGCAUGGUUGUCGUCAGCUCGUGUCGUGAGAUGUUGGGUUAAGUCCCGCAACGAGCGCAACCCUCGUUCCAUGUUGCCAGCACUAGUGGUGGGGACUCAUGGGAGACUGCCGGGGUCAACUCGGAGGAAGGUGAGGACGACGUCAAAUCAUCAUGCCCCUUAUGUCUUGGGCUUCACGCAUGCUACAAUGGCCGGUACAAUG